AACGGCAGCGCGGACUUCGGUCUGGCGGCGAGUGGCGAACGGGUGAGUAAUGCAUCGGAACGUGCCCAGUAGCGGGGGAUAACUACGCGAAAGCGUAGCUAAUACCGCAUACGCCCUACGGGGGAAAGGGGGGGAUCGCAAGACCUCUCACUAUUGGAGCGGCCGAUGUCGGAUUAGCUAGUUGGUGGGGUAAAGGCCUACCAAGGCGACGAUCCGUAGCUGGUUUGAGAGGACGACCAGCCACACUGGGACUGAGACACGGCCCAGACUCCUACGGGAGGCAGCAGUGGGGAAUUUUGGACAAUGGGGGCAACCCUGAUCCAGCCAUGCCGCGUGUGCGAAGAAGGCCUUCGGGUUGUAAAGCACUUUUGGCAGGAAAGAAACGGCGCCGGAUAAUACCUGGCGUAACUGACGGUACCUGCAGAAUAAGCACCGGCUAACUACGUGCCAGCAGCCGCGGUAAUACGUAGGGUGCAAGCGUUAAUCGGAAUUACUGGGCGUAAAGCGUGCGCAGGCGGUUCGGAAAGAAAGAUGUGAAAUCCCAGGGCUCAACCUUGGAACUGCAUUUUUAACUCCCGAACUAGAGUAUGUCAGAGGGGGGUGGAAUUCCACGUGUAGCAGUGAAAUGCGUAGAUAUGUGGAGGAACACCGAUGGCGAAGGCAGCCCCCUGGGAUAAUACUGACGCUCAUGCACGAAAGCGUGGGGAGCAACAGGAUUAGAUACCCUGGUAGUCCACGCCCUAAACGAUGUCAACUAGCUGUUGGGUUCUUCGGAGCUUGGUAGCGCAGCUAACGCGUGAAGUUGACCGCCUGGGGAGUACGGUCGCAAGAUUAAACUCAAAGGAUUGACGGGGACCCGCAC
rnacentral:rRNA from 1 species